rnacentral:misc_RNA from 1 species
UGAAGCUUUUGACAAGGGACAAGAUAUCCACAUGCAAGCUGCUCCGUCUCAGGCCGAGUUACUCUUCAAAAAUUUUCAGGUUAUCAAGGAGAAUUUGAAAUCUAGAACCAAGGAGACCAUCUUGGAGAAAUAUGGAAAUGCAGCAGCAGAAGAGACGCUUCCUAGGGAACUUCUUCUAGGACAGAGUGAGAGAGUGAUUGAGUAUGACCGAGCCGGUCGUGUCAUCAAAGGCCAGGAGACCUCUCUUCCAAAGAGCAAAUACGAAG